GCGCUUUUAGCUCAACCGGUAGAGCGGCGGAUUGUUACUCCGAAGGUCACAGGUUCGAAUCCUGUAGAGCGCGCCA
rnacentral:tRNA from 1 species